GUCGAGCGGUAAGGCCCUUCGGGGUACACGAGCGGCGAACGGGUGAGUAACACGUGGGUGAUCUGCCUCGUACUUCGGGAUAAGCCUGGGAAACUGGGUCUAAUACCGGAUAUGACCUUCGGAUGCAUGUCUGAGGGUGGAAAGAUUUAUCGGUACGAGAUGGGCCCGCGGCCUAUCAGCUUGUUGGUGGGGUAAUGGCCUACCAAGGCGACGACGGGUAGCCGGCCUGAGAGGGCGACCGGCCACACUGGGACUGAGACACGGCCCAGACUCCUACGGGAGGCAGCAGUGGGGAAUAUUGCACAAUGGGCGAAAGCCUGAUGCAGCGACGCCGCGUGAGGGAUGACGGCCUUCGGGUUGUAAACCUCUUUCGACAGGGACGAAGCGCAAGUGACGGUACCUGUAGAAGAAGCACCGGCCAACUACGUGCCAGCAGCCGCGGUAAUACGUAGGGUGCGAGCGUUGUCCGGAAUUACUGGGCGUAAAGAGCUUGUAGGCGGUUCGUCGCGUCGUUCGUGAAAACUUGGGGCUCAACCCCAAGCUUGCGGGCGAUACGGGCGGACUAGAGUACUUCAGGGGAGACUGGAAUUCCUGGUGUAGCGGUGAAAUGCGCAGAUAUCAGGAGGAACACCGGUGGCGAAGGCGGGUCUCUGGGAAGUAACUGACGCUGAGAAGCGAAAGCGUGGGUAGCGAACAGGAUUAGAUACCCUGGUAGUCCACGCCGUAAACGGUGGGUACUAGGUGUGGGUUUCCUUCCACGGGAUCCGUGCCGCAGCUAACGCAUUAAGUUCCCCGCCUGGGGAGUACGGCCGCAAGGUUAAAACUCAAAUGAAUUGACGGGGGCCCGCACAAGCGGCGGAGCAUGUGGAUUAAUUCGAUGCAACGCGAAGAACCUUACCAGGCCUUGACAUACACCGGAAACCUGCAGAGAUGUAGGCCCCCUUGUGGUCGGUGUACAGGUGGUGCAUGGCUGUCGUCAGCUCGUGUCGUGAGAUGUUGGGUUAAGUCCCGCAACGAGCGCAACCCUUAUCUUAUGUUGCCAGCGCGUAAUGGCGGGGACUCGUGAGAGACUGCCGGGGUCAACUCGGAGGAAGGUGGGGACGACGUCAAGUCAUCAUGCCCCUUAUGUCCAGGGCUUCACACAUGCUACAAUGGCCGGUACAGAGGGCUGCGAUACCGUGAGGUGGAGCGAAUCCCUUAAAGCCGGUCUCAGUUCGGAUCGGGGUCUGCAACUCGACCCCGUGAAGUUGGAGUCGCUAGUAAUCGCAGAUCAGCAACGCUGCGGUGAAUACGUUCCCGGGCCUUGUACACACCGCCCGUCACGUCAUGAAAGUCGGUAACCCCCGAAGCCGGUGGCCUAACCCCUUGUGGAGGGAGCCGU
rnacentral:rRNA from 1 species